UCAGGAGUGAAGCAGCUGUGUGGUUUUCUGGAGAGUCCAGACUGUAGACUGGAGACUCUGAGGUUGUGGAGAUGCAGUUUAUCAGAAAUCAGUUGUGAUUCUCUGGUCUCGGCUCUGAAGUCCAACCCCUCCCAUCUGAAACAUCUGGACCUGAGUAAAAACAACCUCAAGGAUUCAGGAGUGAGGCAGCUUCUUGAUCUUAAGAAGAGGCCGGACUAUAAACUAGAGACUCUGGAGUGGGGGUCAUUAUAAACAGGAGGGUGUGUGUUGUGAGAGGAUGAGCUUUGUCUUGAUGAUCCAGAGGGUGAAGCAGACUCUGAUUGGACCAUGUUACUAGGAGGUGGAGAGGAGAGCUUCAUCCACAUGGUCUCCAUUUAAGACCA